AUCGCUUCUCAGCCUUUUGGCUAAGAUCAAGUGUAAUUACUCUGUUUUCUGCUUUAUCACUCAUCACCAUCAAUAUAUAAUAUAUUUUACUUAUUUAUUUGUGUUAUUGUCUAUCUCUCUCCUCUGAAAUGUAAACUCUAUGAGGGCAGGAAUGUUGGUUCACUUUUGCAUACUCCAUGAGUUCAGUAACGUCGUU
ensembl:snRNA U2 U2 spliceosomal RNA